UUUAGUCUAAAGAAAGCAUUGCAAUUGGCACUGUUCCUUACUGUUCAUUGUACCUAAAUUUCACUUUAUUUACGGACAUGCCAUUGCUUUAAGGUUUCGGCUGGGUUUUUUUUUUUAGGUUUAGUUGGAUGGGCUUUUGCGGCUUUGGGCUGUGGCUGGGUUAGUUUAAGUCGGUUUUGUAUGUGGUUAGGUGUUUCGGAUGAAUCCCCGACAGAGGGCAGGCCUAGCCUGCAGCGAUGCCAGAGAGAAGAGAGAGAAGAGAGGAGAGAGGAGGCGUCGUGCGUGAAAGAAGAGCCGAGAGGGAAGGUCUUGGAAGGAAAAAUUGGAGGAGAGAGGGAGAGGUAGGAUGAGCAAAGCAAGAGGUAGGGCUGCCCGAAAGUUUGGUUUUGCUUUUUCUCAGUAAGGUGUGCGCAGAGACACGGCGAGGCAGGAAGGGACGGCUAAGCCUAGGGUUGGUUUCAGAGUUUUGGUUCCAGCUGGAAGCCAUCUCGGGUUGGUUUCAGAGUUUUGUGUUGCAGAAGCAUUGAUCCCGUGGAGGCCGAAGAAGCUCAGGUUUUUUUACCCAAAUAGUCCCAAACUUUCACUCACUCGCAUUCGUAUUUUCUUGAUUUCAGUUUCUGGGUAUUUGUUUUUGCUGCUUGGCCGAUCUAGGUUUUCUGUAUAAUCGAUUUGUUUUGGGUUUAAAUUGUUGAUUAGUGAUUGUUGCGUGUUUCACGGAAGGCACUGCUCAAUGGAAUUAGCCCCUCAAAACCGAAGUAUUCUGCCUAUGUAUUAUGUUAUUUCAAGUUUUGUGAACUUAUAUUUUUUUUAUUCACUUGAAUUAGCAUAUUUCAUUCCCUUAAAAUUAAUUGUAAGGCUGCACUCAAAAUGGGUUAAAUGUUGAGCUGUGACUCUCUAAUACUUUUACAUGAAUGAGCUCUGACUCUCUGAUGUUUGUUUAUAAGUUUUUAGGUUAAUUUUACAUUGUAAUUGUUUGCCCCUAAUUUGAAUGAUUAAUUGUUGAACUUUUCUUUCCUCCAAAUCUUCAUGUUUUCAUAUCGACAAGCCAAAAGAAAUCGAAGAUGCAAAACUGGUAAUUGAAGCUUUAAGAAGUAAAGGUGUUUCUGCAAUUGGUGUUGUAGGCUUCUGUUGGGGCGGAAUGGUUUGAUUUUGCUUGGGUUUCUUGAGGGUUCAACAACAUCAGGUACUUUUUGACCCAAUCAACCACCAAGAACAGGUAUGUUGCCUGUUCGCAUGCUUCCUUUGUUUCAGAAGGGAGUUGACUCAAUUGUCAAAGAAAAUGUCAUGGCUGGAUUUGGCGGUGAACAAGGUAGUGGAGGUUAGCAACAAGAACAAUGUCACCUGCACCGUCAUGAACUACGCUGACUCCGUCGUCCAGCUUGCCGGCCAAGCCGCUAAACAGUUCUAGGACCGAAUGGGAGUUCGGAGCUUUAGGAGUGUGAAGAAGAGUAUACAGAGAUUGGAGGAAGCAGCUGUGUCUUGCGGGGCACCCGAAAAACUUGAGAUACUGAGAAGUUGGGUCCUGCUACUUAAAGAGGUGGACAGGCUGAAGCUUUCUCAGGGUUCCGGCGACGUUUCCUACAAUUCCUGCGAUGGCCAACCUCGAGGUUGGUCUCAAGCAACUCCUCAUAACCUCAGAGAGUUGGCGAGCUCAGUUUUGGCCAAAUUCUAUCAAAUUAGGCAAUAAUUGGCCACUCGCUCCUAACCUCAUACCGUGUGUUACGCAGAGGCAAGUGUUUGCAGGCCCUCUAUCACUCUCUCAACAAAAGCGCCUUUUCCGUGUUCGACACUCACACAGGCAAGCAGCCACUCUUCUGCUCAUGUUUCUGGUUUGGUUUCUUUUAUUUUUAUGGUUCUCUGCUUGGAAAACCGAAGCAUAUGAGUUCGAUUGAGAAAUCCAUUUGUUAUAUUAUAUGCUUGCAUUUUAGAUAUCCGUAGAUUAUUGUUUUUUCUGGGGUUUUAUGUUUUUUUGUAUGAGUUUAGUUAUCGAAUGGAUCAUGGAUGAAUCAAGAUUCUUACUUUGUCAAGUAAUAUUAAUAAUUUUUCUCCAAACUCUCUUAGUGUUCACUAGGGCUUCCUCCCAAGUGUUUCUAAAAGAGGAUACAGGUUAUGGAGUUUCUUGCCAUGGUACUGAGGAGGGGUGAUGAUGAAAAUUUAAUGGAACUUACAAGAUAGGUGUAUAGUGACCAAUAGUUCAUCACCCUGAAAUUUGUUUCAUUUCAUUUAGGCAAGAUAUUCUCAUACAAUACCUUUCAAUUCAUUUGAAACACAAACUGUCAAAAAGAUGAUACGUGUGAUGUAUUAUAUACACGUUGCCUCUUGAUAAUUAUGAGGAGACAGACAGAUUAGUCAGAUAAUAUACACCAUGAGUAGUGAAAGGGAGAGGAAGAGAGGUCUGGUUAUAUACACAAAGCUUUAGCUCCACACAUAAACUCACUCUCACUUAAUUCUUUGGGACUUAUUCAACCUGAGAUACCAAUUUAUUUUAGCUAAAAAUAAAAAGCUUCUCUUCUUUUCUUUCAUUUAUGCAGCGGCUUUGCCAUGGAUGAGUUGAUAUGCUCAAAGUAGCUUCCCCUUCACCUUAUUACAGAAUAAAUAAAUCUUCUUUAAGAAGUAUAUAUGUCGUUGCAAAUGACACAAUGCUCUGAUAUUAAUCUAGCCAUGACUCUAUUCAGACUACUUAUGGUCACUAUUGAUCUUACUUUUUUAUUUGGUCACUGGCAAAAAAACCUCUACAGUCAUCUAUGUCUUGGCAUUUGUUUAAAAUGCAUGGUUGGAUUCAUAUGUGUAUGAAUGUGUGAUUUUUUUUUUCUUAUCAAAGCGGUAGAAAAGGGAGGUCAUUUUUUUUGUGCCCUCGAAAAAUUUGUUUUGAAGGACAGCAAAUUUAUCCUCUUCUCUGUGUGUUCGUUCAGGGAGUCUAAUUGUUUUAGAAGAGGACAAAUUUACCCUCUUCUCUGUGUGUUUGUACAGGGAGAUGAUUUGUUUUAAAAGAAGACAAAUUUUUCCUCUUCUCUGUGUUUGUGCAAAGGCUUAAAUGACAUGCGUUAUUUCUUUGUGCAUGAUCAAUGACCGGCUACGGAAUAUAAUAUCAGUGGCUCCCAAGCUUACUUGAAAGGGAUUGGCAUUUUAAUUAGCUUGGAUCUAAUUUGAAAAUUACGUUUUAUACACCAAUAUUCCAAAUAUUUUGCAAUUUAUUUCAUUUCUGUUAGGCAAGCGAACACCGAUGUACAGAGGUGAUUACUCAAGUGCCAGAAUAUACCAGGCAUUUUCUUAGGCAACUUGAAACUGUGCAGGCUCAUAAAGUGGUUCAAAGACCUCCAAGAGCCUGAUUCACCUAUUUUAUACUUUUCAUGUAAAACUUCUUUAAAAAAGCUAAAACAUCUUUCAUUGUAAAUAAAUUUAACGGUUAUGGUAAGCUUCCAUACAGUAUGUUGUAUGUUUCGGGAUAUCUCUGCAUCUUAAUUCAUGCUCUCAGGUUGCUGAAAGUUUGUAAUUUUACUUGCUACUUGAUUAUAAAAAUGUAAAACAAAUCUGUACGUGAUUUACAACUUUGUAUUUGAUUUUAGACGUUUUUCCAGUGUAAGGCAUAUGUUGCACAUGCAUGUAAAUGGUACAAAUUGUUUUCGUUUUGGACAAUAAGCUUUUGAGUUUUACAACCCUUGCAAGGGGAUUGUGACUCCAACAAAUUUAGUGUUGGGGGAUACAGUUUGAUUCUCCUUAAUACAUAAUAUAACAAAG